rnacentral:misc_RNA from 1 species
AUGAGAAAAAAUUCAUCGUUUUCGUAAUGAUAACUCUUUUUCAUUUCAUUUUAUCUAACUAUUUCAUGUAAUAAUAAUAGCAUAUCACAGUAACCUUGUAUUAAAAUUUCUUAAAAUUCUCCACAAUAAGAAUUUGAUAAGAAAUUAUACAUUAUUAUUAUUAUCAUUAUAUUCUCAUAUUGGCAAAUUUUAAGAACCUAAAAGAAAAGAAUAGUACAUUUUGUUUCCAUUAUCUACACUACAAUUUAUGUUUCGGUAAAAUAAAUGGAACAAACUUUUUAGAUUCGUUUUGAGAUGCACAACAAGGUAAUUAUAUAAAAUUAACUCUUUGUUAAUAUUAAACUUCGAUAUGUUUAAAAUGAUGAUGUUAUCUUAUAUUUUAUUCAGAUAGGUUGUGCGCUAAGAGAAAAUCGAAGGGUGUCUUCGACAUCUCGUCGGAACGCGACUUUCUUCGACAGAGCAAACACAUUUCCGGCAUGUUCGAUAACGAAAAAGUAAAAGAGGGUUGAUGCGAGGGAGGAAUAGUGUAUGCAGAUGCGAGCCUAUAUCAAAAGUUCGCUUUCGUUGGGGUCCACGAAAAAGGAGACGAUGACAUGGCUGUGUCACGUAGACAUCACCGUGUAUUCGCAGAGCCACGAGAAGAAAAGCUGCGGAUAUUCCACGAAGAGAAAUAUACGCAGGAGGAAUAUACGUGCUCGCAAUUUUGUUCGCAGUUCGUUUUACAUAUUGUAUCAUCCGACUUGUUGCUACAGAGAGGCUGAAAUGGCAGGAAAAAGAACGAAGGAUCGCUGGUACAAGAUAGAGAGAAAGAGAGGGAGAGAGACACCAGAAAGGGGAGAAAGUGAGAAGGAAUAAGAUAACAGAAGACCUCGAAAUUCAUGACGGUUCGUGAUCCUUCAGCGGACUUUAGCAUAAUUAGAGCUUUGUUUAUUAUCGUCAGGCGAGCCGCGCAUUGUAUAAAAGCUCUCAAACUAACGCGAAUUAAUCUUUGCUAAGUGGAACCGAUGGAACCGACAUCCUCGUUUCUCUACCCUCACGCUAUUCUGUGAAGAUCUAGGAUGAUAGGAAGCCGCCACACCAUUGUGCCCAACUUGUACGACUCGAUAGACAAUGCGACUUUGUCGGAUUCCCGUAGCUGCCGUUCACGCUGCGUGCUCUCAGAUCCUCCCACGAAAUCCCUGGUUCUCCAUAAGCGCUAAUCCACGACGAAGGAAAUAUAUCCUGCAAACGCUAUCGCAACGAAGCGUUAGAAGUUCCAGGAUCAGUGAAAGCACAUCAUCAAUAGAUAUUGCUCCAUGGUUUAACGAGGGCAUCUAUAGUCAGUUCUCCAUCUGCUUUUCUUAAAAUAUCUCGUGAUUGGAGAGAACGGCGAUUAUUUCAAGUUCGCGAAAACUCAAUAUCGCGCGGAUACGUGCGAUUAAACGAAGCACAGAAACGUGUUGUACGUACGGACAUGAAAAAUACACAAACGUUUACAUCAGUAUCCGUUCCGUGGUAUGAUAAUGGAUGGUCACGCCUACCGCAUUAAUCCGACUAAAAACAAUUAGCUUGAUUGAUGGCUGCCCACGUUUCUCCUAUAGGGAUUAUUCGAGCAGCGCGAUUUUCCUCAUUAUAUUUAAAAUUGGCCGUCACGAAGAGGUUGUACAACGAGUUCAGCGCUAUCGCUAUAGUUUUUUGCCCACGAAAAGGAAAGAAACGUCGAGCGAUCACGAUAAAUCCGGAAUGUACGAGGGUGGCUCAAAUAUAAACCGGAAUGUCGUUACUGCGCACGUACACUUCAACAUAGAUUCAAUCAGCAGCACCGGUAGUUGAAGGGAAGUAACUGCAACGGUUGUAUGUCGUAUGCAUGCGCCGAAUGGUGUUUGGUCGGUGCUGAUCGAGAUGAGUGAGAUUCAUGUGUCUCUUGCGUAGAAAAUCUUUGUUACAACCACAAGCAGACAAGAAUCAUCAAUUAUGUAACUUUUCUUUUUCUUCUCUUUUAGAAGCGAUAUUGUAGCAGUCAGCAAAGUUAUCUAAAGCACCAGAUAUGAGGAAUCUGAUGUAUAUGUAUGCACGGUUCAAAAGACAUAGAUUUCAAGUUAUGUCAAAUAAAUAAGAUCAAAUUAUUGUUGAUCAAACUCCCUCUCCAGCAAAGUAUAAUCGCACAUUUUCUUUGACAAGUACGUGCUCGCUGUACGUUACUGCAUAGGAACACGAACCGAUUAAACUUCAAAUUGCGAUGGUUGGAUCAACUUGGUCAUCCUACUAGAUACAUCGUGGAACAUGAUACAUCUGCGCGCCGAACAAUCUAGUUUGACACUUCACUAGACAGUUAUCUGUCACUUGCACGUUUUUCCGAGCAGCUGUCGCUUGCUCGGAAGUUAAUUGAGUGAGUUCCGGUUGGUUAUUUCUGAAGCAAAAUUCAUGUGUCAAUAUGUCAAUUGAUUAGAAAUGAGAACACGAACAAUACGUUUUACAUUAAUGCAGCUUAUUCCGCAGGCAAAAUUAGUUUUUUUGUUUCGUCAGUUAAUUGUUGAUUUUACAUUACGAAAAUUCGAUUUUAUAAACGUUAGAGAAUACUUUAGGAAUCUAUUCUUUAACAAAUUUAAAAACAGAAUAACCAGAAGAGUCAAAAAUAAUACUGACAGAUACUUGCACACUUAUUUUGCUAACUUUUCACGUAGCAUUAUUAGAUGUAAAAUGUUUUUACAACAGCUUAUUAAUUUCGACUCGAAUCAGAUUGGAAGAAAUUACUCGUUUUAAAGGAAAUUUCGUUUCAUUGCUCACUGUCACAUUCCGUGCUCACUGCUCGGAUGGUUUCCUCCUAUUUUCUUUCUACCCAGUACCCGUUGUAAUUCAAACGUGAAUAUUGAUGUGACAGGACGAACAAAGGAUCUAUCAGUUUUACCUUACGAUCCUUUUUAAUUUCCGCCUUUUCUGUGACGCCGCAGUAACGAACGACGCAGCGAAAACUGCGGUGAACAAAAUGAGUUUUCGAAAAAAUCUGUGCAAGUUCAAAUACAGUGGUUUAAAUACAGACCGUAACAUUUCAAUCUCAGUAAAAUAUGAAAAGUUCAAUCAUUCUCAAA